rnacentral:rRNA from 1 species
AUGGGGUCGUGGCGCAAGGCCUACGGCGCCCUCAAGGACUCCACCAGGGUCGGCCUCGCCAAGGUCCACAGCGACUUCAAGGAUUUGGAUAUUGCCAUUGUCAAGGCGACCAACCACGUGGAAUGCCCUCCCAAGGAGCGCCACGUCAGAAAAAUAUUCUUGGCAACCUCGAUGACCCGCCCUCGCGCCGAUGUGGCCUACUGCAUAUACGCCUUGUCCAGAAGGCUGUCCAAGACAAAGAAUUGGACCGUCGCUUUGAAGACGUUGAUAGUGAUACACAGGCUUCUGCGAGAAGGCGAUCCUACUUUCAAGGAGGAGUUCCUGGCCCACUCACACAAAAGAAACCUUUUGCACAUGGCGCGUUUCAAGGAUGACUCGAGCCCAUUAGCUUGGGAUUGCUCCGCGUGGGUUCGCACCUACACGCUCUUCCUGGAGGAACGGCUAGAGUGCUUUAGGAAUCUAAAAUACGACAUCGAAACUGAGCGUCUGAUGAGAUCUCCCCAGCAUUCUGCCAAGGCACACAGUAGAACCAGGACGCUGCCUUGCCUUGAUCUUAUGGAGCAUUUGCCUUCAUUGCAGCAACUGCUCUUCAGGCUUAUGGGCUGCCAGCCUGAAGGUUUAGCAUGCUCAAAUUACCUUAUUCAAUAUGCAUUAGCCUUGGCUUUGGAGGAGAGCUUUAAAAUAUAUUGCGCAAUCAAUGAUGGAAUCAUCAACCUUGUUGAUAUGUUCUUCGACAUGCCGAGGUAUGAUGCUAUCAAGGCUCUUGCAAUCUAUAAAAGAGCUAGCAUGCAGGUAGAAAACCUUGCUGAUUUUUACGAAUUCUGCAAGGAUCUUGAGCUUGCCAGGACAUUCCAGUUUCCUACUCUCAGACAGCCACCCCCAUCAUUUCUUGCAGCCAUGGAGGAGUACAUCAGAGAAGCGCCCCGUCCCACAAUCAGGAGAGUGGACAGUGAGGAGAGGAAGCUACUAACCUACAGCCAGGAAGCUCCAACAGAACCCGAAAAGCCGGCCGAAGAGGAGAAAGAAGAACCUACAAAGCUUGAACAAGAACCGGUGCCUGACCCUACGCCUGAGCCUGAACAACAACUGCUGGCAAUGGAAACCACUGGAGAUUUACUUAACCUGGAUGAGGAGGUGAAUCCCUUUGUCGUGGAUCUUGAUGAACACAACGCGCUUGCACUCGCUAUUGUGGGACCAGGAGAUGGAAGCAAAGCAUCAACUUGUCAAGACUUGUUUUCUGGCAGCACAUCUGGGUGGGAGUUGGCCCUCGUCACUGCUCCAAGCCGCUACACCAGCCAACCAAUAGAGACCAAAUUGGCUGGGGGCUUUGACAUAAUGCUACUCGACAGCCUCUACGAAGACGGGGCGAGGAGGCAGCAGAUCGCCAGCGUGACCUACAACGGCAGCCUUGGACAAGCCAACAACCCCUUCGAAACGAACGACCCUUUCGCCAUGUCCAACAGCUUUGCGCCGCCUUCCAACGCCCAGCUGGCAAUGGUGACCCAGCAGCAGCAAUACUUCCAGGCUCAACAACAUCAGCAGCAAUACUACUACCAGCCUCAGCUGCAAUACUACCAGCCCCAGCUGCAGCAGCAGCAGCAGUAUUUCCAAGCUCAGCAGCAUCAGCAUCAGCACCAGUAUUUCCAGCAGCAUCCCCAGUAUUGUGUGCAUCCAACCGGAACUUACAAUCCGUUUGGUGACCCUUUCACUGACCUUGUAACACUGGCUGCUCCUUCAAAACAAGGCAAUUUAAGUUUGCUCUGA